GAUGAACGCUGGCGGCGUGCUUAACACAUGCAAGUCGAACGGGAUCCCAGGAGCUUGCUCCUGGGUGAGAGUGGCGAACGGGUGAGUAAUGCGUGACCGACCUGCCCCAUACACCGGAAUAGCUCCUGGAAACGGGUGGUAAUGCCGGAUGCUCCAGUUGGAUGCAUGUCCUUCUGGGAAAGAUUCAUCGGUAUGGGAUGGGGUCGCGUCCUAUCAGCUUGAUGGCGGGGUAACGGCCCACCAUGGCUUCGACGGGUAGCCGGCCUGAGAGGGCGACCGGCCACAUUGGGACUGAGAUACGGCCCAGACUCCUACGGGAGGCAGCAGUGGGGAAUAUUGCACAAUGGGCGCAAGCCUGAUGCAGCGACGCCGCGUGCGGGAUGACGGCCUUCGGGUUGUAAACCGCUUUUGACUGGGAGCAAGCCCUUCGGGGUGAGUGUACCUUUCGAAUAAGC
rnacentral:rRNA from 1 species